ensembl:lncRNA
CGGCAGGGGAGCGGGAGGCAGAGGGGAGGAUAGGCAAACUGCGUAGCAGGGCUAGGUAGGUUUCCAUGCUAAGCACAGCAAUUGCGCACGGUCCCUUACGUAACUGUCAGCUGGGGAUUCCCUAGAGGGGGUCACUUUAUUCAACCAUUACACAGACCCCGGCCGCCGCUCCAGCGCGCCUGGGCUGCCGUUGCCGCCGCUACUGAGGCUGCGGCUCCAGCUAGCGCAGCGGCUCCUCACAAAAUGGCGGCGCCCAUGGAAGCGGCAGCCCCAUUUUGUGCCCGGCAGAGCCUGUCAACAAAACGCCGACUUGGCCAAGGCUGAGGAACAGAAGGCGGCGGCUCGUUCGCAUUACAGAGAGCGGAGGGAGGAGAGCGAAGGAUUUCACCGCCCUCCCGCCGCCGAGAGGAGACUUUCUAUAAAGUUGCGUGCCUUAUGAAUAAACCGGCUAUUAGGCUGAUGCUUCAAGUAACACUAUCCAGCACCAAGAUGAGAGUUACAAAGCAGAGGAUGAGGCACUUGGGGGUGGAACAGUCCUCGGUUCAACUGCAGUUACAGCAUCUCACUUCAGACCACCUGGAACAGUUUGAUCAGCUAACUGGAUGUCCUGGAAAAACUCUCAAAUGACUUCAGUUCGAUGUUCUCUGCUCAAGGGGUUCUGGUGGUUUCACAGCUAACAAAGGCUUGUUGUACUUUCAGCCUGUAUACCACAGAACGCUGCACUGCUACUGAAGACCUAAAAUUUGAAGUCUGUGGUCCUCAGGGUUGGAGGGAAGUUGAACCUAAAGAGAAGCUGCCAUGUUUGCUGGAUAUGUUAAAGACUGGGCUUUGGAGUUUUUCUCAGUCAUUAAGAAUCACAAGAAAGGAACAUGGGACAUCUAUAUGUAAAUGUGUAUACAUAUACAUUUCUAUUUUUUCUAUAAAAUUUCUAUGCAUAAGUUUUAAGAUAUAUACAUAUAUGAAAUGAAUUUCACAUCUAAAGCAGUGCAAAUGCAGGAUGUUGCUGGAGUGGCUGUCCUUUCCCUACCUCUUCAUACAGAUGAGAGAAAAGACCCAUACCAGAGACUUGUUUGGUAAAAUUACUGUUUUCAAUGAACAUAUACUGGUUAAAAUUGAAUUUCAGCACUGCGUUGUCUCCCCUUGACUCUCAGUACUGCUGUCUUCCUGUAAACCCAUGGGUUUUAAUUUCUGGUAAGCCUCAGCCUUUGUUUCUGACACAUUUUAGCUUUUACAGCUCCUGCUUCCUCUACUUCUCUGCAACCCUUUGGAGCUGGAGCUACAACAUGUCAGUUUGGAGCUUAAGGAUUUCCCCAGAAGUACAGAGGGAAGAGUGAAAUUGAAAUUUACCCUAAAUUAUGAUUUUUAUAGUCUAAAUGGUAAACGUAAGCAACUGAAAGUUAAGUGUAGACUUUACCUGCUCAUUUUCAAUUAGAAAGCUUCCCCUGCCAUGUCAGUCCUGUCAAGCCUAUGCCACACUUUAGAGAAGCAAGAGGAGAGGGAGCUCUUAACAGCUCACAGUGGAAGUCUCAUUGAUGGAACGGAGUUGGGCUGGGAGCCCAAGUUAAUCCAACAACAUCAGUCUACCACCUCCACUGUCUUCCUUCAGCAGCUAGAGAUCUGACCUCUGCAGAACAACCCUGCUGUGUACCAGCAGAGCCCAACUCCUCCUCAUGUGUUACAGUCCCAGCACAGGAGUGGCACUUGCAUUGCUUGAAAGCUUUGGGAGGCUCCAGAAUGGCAAGUCAAAUGCCUCUGCGUAUGAAGUAAGAAGAUAUGGCAUGCAGGUUACACUUUGGGACAGGCUCAGAGUAGUCAAAAUGAACUAAGUUCAUGUUCUUCAGUGUAGAACGUUAUUUACCACAAUAAAAAAUUAUAAAAGCAAAAAUCUGUGUUUAUU